AUUUUAAGUGUUGAUCUUCUUGCACUCGCUGAUGAAUCUUUUUGACCAAGCAGCUGGUGUAUCAGAUCUAGCUGGCAGCACACAGAGCACAUUAGGAAAACAAAGAGAAUGUGAGAUUAGGCUGAAAAGAGGCAAGAGAGGCAUUUUCUCACUGUUCUGCAUGAAGGCAGAAGAUGCUUCGAGAGGAUACAGCCUCGAUUUUCUUAUUGGAACUAUGGCCUCUUCCCCCCAUCAGAUUAUUCAAAGGGGGGCACUUGGAUCAGCUUUAAAGUGGAGAACGGUGUUUCAAAAUAAGGAGUAGAGACGUUCAACAUCGGAUGAAAAUGGUGCUGCGAUCUGAAAGGAAAGGCAAAGCUCUGAGUCCAACUGGGAAAGCGAUCCCUGGCAGGACUGAAUGAUGUCCUGCCUCCCGAGUUCUGGUUGUGCUGCUCAUCAUCCCUUUAUGAUGGAAAGAGUCGCUGCUGCAAUCUUUCUAGAAAACACACUUCGGCUGCAGCUGAGGGCCUUAAAGCAACAAAAUGUGACAACUCACCGAAACACACAAUUUAAAUAAAAAAUGGAGCAGACAAAUAAAGGCCUCCA
rnacentral:lncRNA from 1 species